rnacentral:lncRNA from 1 species
UACGUAACAAAUAAUCAAUAAAUUGUCUAUUAAAAAAAAUCAAGAAAUGAUUAGCAAAAAAAAAAAAAUCAAGAAAUCAAGAAAUGACAUAAAUAUCAAGAAUAUUAAAGGUGGAUGAAUCUUUACCCUUAGGGAGUUUUUCUUGUUGCCGUAAUCACAUCCUGGUGGUCUAUUGUUUGGUUUGUUGUCGAUGAGACGGUACUCAUGCAUGAUCCAGUCGCUUUUAACGCCUUUUGGAGGUUUGCCACUGUAGAAGACGAGUGCCUUCUUCACGCCGACCUUUUGGUUCCCGUCUGAGGCAAGCACCGGUUUAUCAGUACCCGUAGCUUUCCAGUAACCAGACGUUGCUGCUCUGUUUGGCCUCGCUCCGUUCGGAUACUUCCGAUCCCUAGGACUGAAGAAGUACCAUUCCUGUUCUCCAAACGAUGCCUUAGCUGCAACAACAAAAAUUCCAAAAAAAAAAAGAAAAAGGUUAGAAGAUCAUACGUCACACAGAUAAAAAAAAUAAUAAAAAAUGUUAGAUCAUACGUCACACAGAUAAAAAUAAUAAUAAAAAAUGUUAGAUCGUACGUCACACAGAUAAAUGAUCUCUGGAGAAAGUGAAAACGUUUAAAGAACUCAUAAAAAAGAGAUAAAAACUUGGAUGAUGAUUACUUUUAAUCAGUUCAGCAAGUUCAGGAUGUUUCCAAAGAAGAUUGGUUUUCACUAUUUUUAUAAUAUAAUGUCUAUAUUUUAGUGUUUACACAAACAUAUACUCUAGGGCACUUCGUAGUUUCAAAAGAAGUUUGGAUAAAGCAAGUCAUGGGCGUGACAUAAGAGAUAAAGUCUAUAUCAUCAACCAGAAUAACAUCUAGUAUGAAACAAUCAUAAGGAUAAAAAGUAUAUCAUAUUCUAUUAAAAUAACAAUUUAAAUUCAAAUCCAGUUAAAUAUACUGUUUAAUGUUAAGAUAAUUACAUUAGUUUAGGGGAUUUUUGGGGAUAAAUACACAAUCCUUUUAACUAUAGUAAAAUUGAAUUGGUAAGUGAAGAAAACUCACAGUUACACAACUAUUUUUUUUUUUUCAAUCAUUUCCUUUACAAGUAAAUACACUCUCAAAAUAUCAUUGAGAACACUAUAUAUGCAUCUACACAAUCAAUAUAUAAACAUCUAAGUAUAUGUAAUCUUUACAUUGCAACAUUUAAAUUAAAGAAAACUGUAUAUUCUUUUGUUUCUAUAUGAUUUUUGCCUCACUUCUGCCACUCUCUUCCUCUAACCCCUAUGCCCCAAUUAAUUAACCCAAAACAUAUACACAAAUCUCAAAUUAUAUAAUGCAAAUGGCCCCACCAAUCGGAAAAGAAUCGUACUCAGCAAUUCCGACACUUGUCACCAGAACUUUUUACAACCCAGACCGGUUUAAGAAGAGUACCAAUUUAAACCAGGUAGUUGGUACGACGUCGCUCUGAAUAAUCCAUCCCCCAACACACCACCUUGCUCCUCCACCAUCGAUGAAGACAUGUUCGUACAGUCUCCUCCUCCUCCUACGCCGUGAAACCGUUUGCUUGGAGAUACUUCCUGCCCUUCCUCCCCUACAGGCCAAUACGGAACCGGAAGAGCUCGUUUCAGAUUCGCCAUCAUCAUCAUCAUCGGUCCAGAGGAAGAUACAGGGUUCAAACCGUUACCAACAACGUCGGCAAUGGGAUUACCAUUACAGACAUUGAGAUUGACUGCAUCGGUUCCGCUGCUGCACAUCAUGCCGCUUCCGUCGUACAAACCGGGAUCAUUGUCGGAGAACAUCCCGUAACCACUGGAGAAUCUUCCCGGAAAGAAGUUCAUUGAUCUUGAGACAUUGUGGUUGAGUCCUGAAGGGAUUUUCCUGAAGAUGUAGUCGAUCAUAUCAUGAUCCUUAUCGUUGUCAACGUGUCGUCCCGCGUUGUUCUUCUUGUAGAUUCGACAUAGCACCCAGUCAUCAAGCUACGUAACAAAUAAUCAAUAAAUUGUCUAUUAAAAAAAAUCAAGAAAUGAUUAGCAAAAAAAAAAAAAUCAAGAAAUCAAGAAAUGACAUAAAUAUCAAGAAUAUUAAAGGUGGAUGAAUCUUUACCCUUAGGGAGUUUUUCUUGUUGCCGUAAUCACAUCCUGGUGGUCUAUUGUUUGGUUUGUUGUCGAUGAGACGGUACUCAUGCAUGAUCCAGUCGCUUUUAACGCCUUUUGGAGGUUUGCCACUGUAGAAGACGAGUGCCUUCUUCACGCCGACCUUUUGGUUCCCGUCUGAGGCAAGCACCGGUUUAUCAGUACCCGUAGCUUUCCAGUAACCAGACGUUGCUGCUCUGUUUGGCCUCGCUCCGUUCGGAUACUUCCGAUCCC